rnacentral:rRNA from 1 species
CAGUCGCCACGGUAAUACGGAGGGUGCAAGCGUUAAUCGGAAUUACUGGGCGUAAAGCGUGCGUAGGCGGUUUGUUAAGUCUGCUGUGAAAUCCCCGGGCUCAACCUGGGAAUGGCAGUGGAUACUGGCAAGCUAGAGUGUGUCAGAGGAUGGUGGAAUUCCCGGUGUAGCGGUGAAAUGCGUAGAGAUCGGGAGGAACAUCAGUGGCGAAGGCGGCCAUCUGGGACAACACUGACGCUGAGGCACGAAAGCGUGGGGAGCAAACAGGAUUAGAUACCCCCGUAGUCCCUGUCUCUUAUAC